CCUACGGGAGGCAGCAGUGAGGAAUAUUGCGCAAUGGGGGAAACCCUGACGCAGCAACGCCGCGUGAGUGAUGAAGGCUUUCGAGUCGUAAAACUCUGUCUUUGGGGACGAAUAAUGACGGUACCCAAGGAGGAAGCCCCGGCUAACUACGUGCCAGCAGCCGCGGUAAU
rnacentral:rRNA from 1 species